rnacentral:rRNA from 1 species
AACGUAGGGGGCAAGCGUUGUCCGGAAUUACUGGGCGUAAAGGGCGUGUAGGCGGCCCGUGAAGUCAGGAGUGAAAACCCGGGGCUCAACUUCGGGAGUGCCUUUGAAACCAGCGGGCUUGAGUGCAGGAGAGGAAAGUGGAAUUCCCAGUGUAGCGGUGAAAUGCGUAGAUAUUGGGAGGAACACCAGUGGCGAAAGCGGCUUUCUGGCCUGCAACUGACGCUGAGGCGCGAAAGCGUGGGGAGCAAACAGG